CCUACGGGGGGCAGCAGUGGGGAAUAUUGCACAAUGGGCGCAAGCCUGAUGCAGCCAUGCCGCGUGUGUGAAGAAGGCCUUCGGGUUGUAAAGCACUUUCAGCGGGGAGGAAGGCGUUAAGGUUAAUAACCUUGUCGAUUGACGUUACCCGCAGAAGAAGCACCGGCUAACUCCGUGCCAGCAGCCGCGGUAAUACGGAGGGUGCAAGCGUUAAUCGGAAUUACUGGGCGUAAAGCGCACGCAGGCGGUCUGUCAAGUCGGAUGUGAAAUCCCCGGGCUCAACCUGGGAACUGCAUUCGAAACUGGCAGGCUAGAGUCUUGGAGAGGGGGGUAGAAGUCCAGGUGGAGCGGUGAAAUGCGUAGAGAUCUGGAGGAAUAACGGUGGCGAAGGCGGCCCCCUGGACAAAGACUGACGCUCAGGUGCGAAAGCGUGGGGAGCAAACAGGAUUAGAUACCCUAGUAGUA
rnacentral:rRNA from 1 species